UGAGAAAAAUUAAAUUAGAGAAACCUUAGCAGUCUCUGAGAUCUAAGUAAUCUAUACACUUCUAUAGGUUCUCUGGAAAAGCCAGUUCAUUAGAUUAUUUCAUUCAUGACGGGUGUGCCCAAAAAAGUAUUAGUCUCCCAAAUUUCCUAGUCCCUCAAAAAGAAAAUAUCCCUGAAAAAAAAAACUCUUCAAAAUAAAUAGCACUAAUAUGCAGAGAUUCAUGGCCCAGGUCGUUUUUCAUGGAUUCUCCCUGGCUCUCCUCAACCUCGUAAUGGUCCAGACCAUGCGAUGUCGUGGGCGGUGGUAGUAUACCGUUCUCCCCCCUUCAUUUCUACAAUGGUAGAUAUUUUAUUUUAUUAAAAAAGUACUAUUGCGGUUGCCUGUAUCCCGAUCUCUUCAAUAUUCCUAUGAUCUAUGUCUUCUCUGUAAUAUCUCUGGCCUGGAAUGGAUAAGUUUUUAAGUUGGGCCGUUUCAAAAUUUUCAUUUCAAAAUCGGCGUUUUUCAUUAAUUGCUCACUCUUUGUUUUGAAGAAUAAAAUUUUAAACAAAAACCGAAUUUUGGUUUGCUGCAUUUUAUGAAAUUGUAAUAAGGGCCGGUGCCGGGCAUCAGAAAUGUGGUCCGAUUAGUUGCAGAUACAUACGGGUUUGAAUGGCCAUAGAGUUCCGGAGAGCGGAGUCCGGAGUCUGGAGUGCAUGGGUCGGCUUAAGAGCUUUCGGAACAGGCCACACCUGUGGCCCCUAAUGCGAACACGAAAUAAAUACACUGAGAGUAGGGACUCUCCCCUCAAUAUUUCUAAACUUGGAAUCUAAAAAUAUAAGAUCUCUUAACUCUACUUCCCUAUAAAAAUACAUCUUGAAUUGAAAUUACCUCUUUUACAUUACUUAAAAAAAGAUUAAAUUGUUGUCUGAUUAUGAAUUUUUCUCAGUGCAUUUCACACACUCGCACUGGUGGCCUUUUGUAUGCAAAUACCCCCCAUGUUAAUGCCACAAAUGCGCCUAAAAUUAUGUUAAGCACUUGCCAGCUUUGCCAGCACCAGGAAUUUGGUUGAAAGGAUGGGUAAGGCGACAGCAGCAGGAUGGUUGCUACUGCUGCUCAGUCAGGAUUCAGUAAAGGUAAAGGCAACGACAAGGACAAGGACAAGGACUAGGGUCCUGGCAUCUGGCAUCUGGCAUCCGGAAGCCGGUAGAGCGUUGAUGGCUUAGGCUCAUUUAUAAAUCGACGACAGUAAAUUAUAAAUGGAAUUACUAUUGGAACACUAGCAGGGCCCUAAGGACUUUUACCCAUGUUAUCCCUAUCCUGCAUACGGCUGUCUCUUUCCAAGGAUCUAUUGCCAUCUCUGUUGCUACUUAAAAUAUUUGGAAUAUGGUUUGUGUCUGUGUGUUUUUGGUGGAAUUAUAUCAACGCCUUUGGUGAAAUUUAGCUGUCGACUGUCUUUGGCAGAUGAAAACGAGACGGAAAGGAGCCCAAGGAUAGAGAUAGGAUACCCCCAGGCGACAGAGAAGGGAACAAACAAUGACAGGGACAGAGAUAGAGAAAGAGACACAUAAAUGUUGCAGUUUAUUAAAGUUCAAAAAGGCAACGACAGUAUGACUUAGAGAACGCAAUUCUGUCAAAAAAAAAGGACGAUGCUAAAAUAAAGGAAGAAAUAUCAGUAGUAAUAGGGUAGCGCGGGGGCGUGGCAAUCGAGGAGGGGGGCGUGGGGCAGGGGACAAGGACAAGAGCUGCCAUUUCAUGUGGGCGUUUUGGCGAAAGUUGAACAACGCCGAAAGCCUAAGGAUGACAACAUGCCCCAAAAAAAAAAGCAAAAAAAAAAGAGUAAAUGCAAGGACAAUGGAAAAAAAGUCUGGCAUGAAAAAAAAAUGAUAUCCCGAAGCCAAGAACCAGGAUCCAGGAACCAGGACAUCGGCAUGUUGGGCCAAGGCAAAAAAAACACAAACAAGUCCCUAAAUAUUAACGAUGACAGCAAUUAAGAGAAGUCCUAAAUCGCUUUCCAUCGCCAAUCCGAGUGGGAGAUGUGGAUUCCAUCGCGGAUUUGCGCUUGAAAACUGGAGAAAAAGACGAAAAGCCUCGCGAGUUGCCAUUUGGCGACUUCUCAGGCAGUAAGUCCUUCCUCCUACACACUCCCCUUGCUCCCUAGCAGUCCUCAUACGAAACGACAAGGACGAGAACGAGCAGAAGCACGAGGACAUGGUUGGAUGGCUUAGGAAGUAAUUUUAGGAUUGUAAAUCCUUUUGGAAAAUUAUAGCGACAGUCAGCUUGUAGUUAGUGGCAGCAGGCGCCGCUAAAAAGUGGGAUAGCCGAAGGAUAUACAUAUACACUCCACCAUAUGUGUACCAACACACAUAUAUAUAGAGAUGUGGGGAUGGAAACGGAGGACAGGACUAUCAUAAGAUCAGGCACACACAAAUUGUGUUAGCUGCUCCAAAAUGCACAAAAAUUGUUCAAAACACAAGCGCACACAAACAAUUUUAGAUAGAGAUGGAAAUUGCCAGAUAUAUGAUAGUCUAAGGACUAAGGAGUCAGGACUCGGAACUCGGUCCGGGCUCAAGACUGAGCAAGGACAUAACAUACAUACGCGAAAAUAUUCAUAUGACAUUUUGUAGGAACUGAAACUGAAACUGAAACAUAAGCCAAAGCCAAAGAACGUUACUUCCUUUUCCCUUCCUUUUCCAAAAAGAGACAAAGCCAGAGAUGAAACAAAAGGGUCGCAGGACGAAGGACUCUGCAAAAUGGAGCAGCUGCGGCUGCAGGAUGGCCGCCGGGUGAAAGUAGUGGGCUAACUGAGCCACAUAAAUCUAACCAAAAG
rnacentral:sRNA from 1 species